GGGGUUGUAGCUCAAUUGGUAGAGCGUCUGCUUUGCACGCAGAAGGUUUCGCGUUCAAGUCGCGUCAACUCCA
rnacentral:tRNA from 1 species